rnacentral:lncRNA from 13 species
CAAUAGUGAAUCAGAUGGAUAUAGGUAUAGAGACUAUCUUUCCUUCCAUGUAGAAAAGCAAUGCUGAGAGAUGGAGAAAGAGCCCUUGAAAGACCAUGGAUCCUGCUACAUCUCAAGAAUCUUGCUUUGUCACCCAGGCUGGAGUAUGAUGGUGCAAUCAUGACUCACGGCAGCCUUGAAUACCUGGGUUCAAGUUAUCAUCCUUCCUUAGCCUCCCAAGAGCUGGGACUACAGGUGCCCACCACCAUGCUUGGUUAUUUAUUAUUAUUAUUUUUUUGAAAUGUGGGUGUUCCUAUGUUGCCCAGGCUGGUCUCAAACUUCUGGACUCAAGUGUUCUUUCCACCUCAACCUUCCAAAGUGUUGAGAUUAUAUACAUGAGCCACUGUCUUUGGCCUGUGUGCCAUUUUGAUAGUCAUUUCUUUGAAUAUAUUUAUCCCUUAAUUUGUACUGGAUGCCAAUACAAUGGUAUUAUAAUC